rnacentral:rRNA from 1 species
GACGAACGCUGGCGGCGUGCUUAACACAUGCAAGUCGAACGGAAAGGCCUGCUUUCCCUUGUGGUUUGCGGGUAGUCGGGUGGCGAACGGGUGAGUAACACGUGAGUGAUCUGUCCCCAACUUGGGUAUAAGGCUGGGAAACUGGGUCUAAUUCUCGAUAGGACUGGAGGGUGGUGCCUGUGGUGGAAAACGAUUUUCUAGUGGUUGGGGAUGAGCUCGCGGCGUAUUGGCUUGGUGGAGGGGUAAAGGCGUACCAAGGCGGCGACGGGUAGCCGGCGUGGGAGGGGGGACAGUGACAUUGAGACACGGUCACGGCCCAUACGGGUGCGAGAGGCAGCAGAGUGUGAUAUUGGGCAGUAAGCGGAAGCCUGAUGCAGCGACUCCGCGUGGAAGAUGACCGCCUUCGAGAGGUAAUCUCCUGUCAACCACAAGGAAGCCACCAAGUUGGAAGUGUGGUGACGGUAGCGGUAGAAGAAGCACCGGCUAACUACGUG